GAAAGAUCAAACUUCACGUAGAGGUUUCUUCACGGAGAGCCUGAAGAAAACAGACUUCUGAGAGUUACAUUUGUAGAGAAAAGAAGUCUGAGCUAAAUCUCAGACUUGCUACUUGUAGCCUCCAUCGUCUGUAAAGGAUAAGCCGUGUGCUGACUAACUUCACUUCUGGAUCUCCAGUGUUCCUGCCUCUUAACCAGCACAUGGCUCAUGCUAGCGAGGUGUGAACAGAAUAACAGCCUUGAAGCAGAUAUUGUUCUAAAGUGAUGAAACCACUCUACUAAUCUCAAAGAACAGCAGAAUAUUCAUUCAACUAGUACAGAAGAUGAAAUACUACAUAGAAGCUUCUGUAUAAGAUCUCUUCAAAACCACACUAUGGCUGCUCCAAAAGAGCAAAAAGGGCUGUGUACCUGGCAUUCCAUAGGGGUUUUACACAAGAAUAAGGAGGGAAAGCUUGUGGCUGGUCUGGGUGUAUGUGUGUGUGAGAGAGGGGGGGCGCGCUGGCUAUAUCCUGGAAGGAAAAAUAAUUGAUUUGUUGUGUGAAUAAAAGCAAAUGUUUGUUUUCUCUUGUUCUAGUUUUCUGAUAAUGGAGGUGACGUAAGUGUUUAAUGUCUAAAGGGAGAAGUGUUGAGUUUUUAAUUCACAUGGGAGCUAUGCUUAAUUCUGCAAGCCCAGGCUCCCAAUUCAGCAUUGGGAAGCUGUGAUUAUUUAGUGAUUAGUAGAAAGCUUAUGAAUAAAGCAUUGCUAUUUAAUAUUUCUGCUUAAAAAUACUGUGCUAAGAAUUCAUCAACUAAUCUUAAGCUAGUCACCCAUUACUGUGCCUUGAUGUUUCUUAGUUGUAAAGUUAGGCUGGCAUCUUUGGAACAGAAUAAAUUUGAAGUGGACACGAUUGGCUCUGAAAUGAGCGAAGCCAUUUCUGCAAAAAUCAGGAAUUGGCUCCUUUGUGAACCAAUAGAAAUUUUGACAGCUUGAAGCAAGAUAAUUGUUUCCUUCCCGCUUCAUUUAUGCUCAUGUCUGAGUUAGGCUAAGAAAUGGUGACCAGUCCAAGGUCACACGGUCAGUUUCCUAGCUGAGUGGGAAUUCAGUGCAAAUGCAGUUUCUGUAGUUUCUUUAAGUUCAACUUAACAAAUCAUAAAGUACUUGAGAAAAAAAGAAUUACUAUUUGUUUUUCAGUGGCUAGAAAUUGUUAAUACAAUCAGAUGAAAAACACUAGUGCAGACAAGCAUAUUUUGUAUGUGAAGGUCAGUCUUCCCCACAAUGAUAAGGUGCAUUUAUAUUAUAUUAUAGGCUUGAUUAUUGUAACUCACUCUACGUGGGGCUGCCCUUGAAACUGACCCAGAAACUCCAGCGGGUGCAGAAUGCCGUGGCGAGACUCCUCACGGGUUCCUUGCCGUGGGAGCACAUUCGUCCAGUGCUAUACCAGCUGCACUGGCUCCCAGCAGAGUACAGGAUCAGGUUUAAGGUACUGGUUUUAACCUUUAAAGCCCUAUACAGCCUAGGACCCUCGUACCUAUGGGACUGCCUCUCCUGGUAUGCCCCACGGAGGACCUUAAGGUCUGCAAAUAAUAACACCCUGAAGAGCCCAGGCCCCAGGGGCAUUAGACUGGCCUUGACCAGAGCCAGGGCCUUUUCGGCCAUGGCCCCAGCCUGGUGGAAUGCUCUAUCACAAGAAACCAGGGCCCUGCGAUAUUUGACAUCUUUCCGCAGGGCCUGCAAGACAGAGCUGUUCCACCAGGCCUUUGGUCAGGGUUCAAUCUGAUU